AGUAGAACGCUGAAGAGAGGAGCUUGCUCUUCUUGGAUGAGUUGCGAACGGGUGAGUAACGCGUAGGUAACCUGCCUUGUAGCGGGGGAUAACUAUUGGAAACGAUAGCUAAUACCGCAUAACAAUGGGUGACACAUGUCAUUUAUUUGAAAGGGGCAAUUGCUCCACUACAAGAUGGACCUGCGUUGUAUUAGCUAGUAGGUGAGGUAACGGCUCACCUAGGCGACGAUACAUAGCCGACCUGAGAGGGUGAUCGGCCACACUGGGACUGAGACACGGCCCAGACUCCUACGGGAGGCAGCAGUAGGGAAUCUUCGGCAAUGGGGGCAACCCUGACCGAGCAACGCCGCGUGAGUGAAGAAGGUUUUCGGAUCGUAAAGCUCUGUUGUAAGUCAAGAACGAGUGUGAGAGUGGAAAGUUCACACUGUGACGGUAGCUUACCAGAAAGGGACGGCUAACUACGUGCCAGCAGCCGCGGUAAUACGUAGGUCCCGAGCGUUGUCCGGAUUUAUUGGGCGUAAAGCGAGCGCAGGCGGUUUGAUAAGUCUGAAGUUAAAGGCUGUGGCUCAACCAUAGUUCGCUUUGGAAACUGUCAAACUUGAGUGCAGAAGGGGAGAGUGGAAUUCCAUGUGUAGCGGUGAAAUGCGUAGAUAUAUGGAGGAACACCGGUGGCGAAAGCGGCUCUCUGGUCUGUAACUGACGCUGAGGCUCGAAAGCGUGGGGAGCGAACAGGA
rnacentral:rRNA from 1 species